GGAAAACAGGGUGGCUGGAUGGACACCACUCAUAUAGGGCAGUGAUGGCAAACCUUUUACAGACUGAGUGCCAAAACUGCAACAUAAACCCACUUAUCUAUUGCAAAGUGCUAACACAGCAAUUUACCUUGAAUACUACAGUCCAAUAUAGUAUAUCUUCCAUGUACUUUAUCAUUUAUCUACAAUAUCCUGCCUACAUUCAGUGCACUAACUGUGCUGUUCAU